UACGUAGGGUGCAAGCGUUAAUCGGAAUUACUGGGCGUAAAGCGUGCGCAGGCGGUGAUGUAAGACAGGUGUGAAAUCCCCGGGCUUAACCUGGGAACUGCAUUUGUGACUGCAUCGCUGGAGUGCGGCAGAGGAGGAUGGAAUUCCGCGUGUAGCAGUGAAAUGCGUAGAUAUGCGGAGGAACACCGAUGGCGAAGGCAAUCCCCUGGGCCUGCACUGACGCUCAUGCACGAAAAGCGUGGGGAGCAAACAGG
rnacentral:rRNA from 1 species